GGAAUAUUGGACAAUGGCCGGGAGGCUGAUCCAGCCAUGCCGCGUGCGGGAGGACGGCCCUAUGGGUUGUAAACCGCUUUUGUCGGGGAGCAAUAAGGUCCACGCGUGGGCCGAUGAGAGUACCCGGCGAAUAAGCAUCGGCUAACUCCGUGCCAGCAGCCGCGGUAAUACGGAGGAUGCGAGCGUUAUCCGGAUUUAUUGGGUUUAAAGGGUGCGUAGGCGGCGCGUUAAGCGUGAGGUGAAAUGCCACUGCUCAACAGUGGGACUGCCUCGCGAACUGGCGUGCUGGAAUGCCCCUGCCGUGGGAGGAAUGUGUGGUGUAGCGGUGAAAUGCAUAGAGAUCACACAGAACACCGAUUGCGAAGGCAUCUCACGAAGGGGUGAUUGACGCUGAGGCACGAAAGCGUGGGGAUCAAACA
rnacentral:rRNA from 1 species